UACGGGGGGGGCAAGCGUUGUUCGGAAUUACUGGGCGUAAAGGGCUCGUAGGUGGCCAACUAAGUCAGACGUGAAAUCCCUCGGCUUAACCGGGGAACUGCGUCUGAUACUGGAUGGCUUGAGUUUGGGAGAGGGAUGCGGAAUUCCCGGUGUAGCGGUGAAAUGCGCAGAUAUCGGGAGGAACACCAAUGGCGAAGGCAGCUCGCUGGGACGUGACUGACGCUGAGACGCGAAAGCGUGGGGAGCAAACAGG
rnacentral:rRNA from 1 species